rnacentral:rRNA from 1 species
GAUGAACGCUGGCGGCGUGCCUAAUACAUGCAAGUCGGGCGAACGGACGAGAAGCUUGCUUCUCUGAUGUUAGCGGCGGACGGGUGAGUAACACGUGUAUAACCUACCUAUAAGACUGGGAUAACUUCGGGAAACCGGAGCUAAUACCGGAUAAUAUUUUGAACCGCAUGGUUCAAAAGUGAAAGACGGUCUUUCUGUCACUUAUAGAUUGAUCCGCGCUUCAUUAUCUAGUUGGUAAGGUAACGGCUUACCAAGGCAACGAUGCAUAGCCGACCUGAGAGGGAGAAGGGAAACAGUAGAACAGAGACAGGGUACAGACUGAUAAGGGAGGCAGCAGUAGGGAAUCGUACGAAAGGGGAGAAAGCAUGACGGAGAAACGCAGCGUGAGUGAUGAAGGUAUUCGGAUGGUAAAACUCUGUUAUGAGGGAAGAACAUAUGUGUAAGUAACUGAGCACAUCUAGACGGUAAAUAAUCAGAAAGCCACGGCUAACUACG